rnacentral:lncRNA from 1 species
UUAAAUCAGUUUAUGAAAAUUUUAACAUUUUUUUAAAAUUUUUAUGGAUUUUUAAUUAUUCAUUUAACUAUUAUUGAACUGGUGGUCGAACUUGUUGAACUGAGAAUCAGUAGUCUGGCCGGUUCGACCACCUAUUCAUUUUUUAAAACAGUAUUGCCAAAACCCUCUAUUAGUCUUGAUUAAUUCUUGAAAACAAACGUUAAUCCGUGUAUAAAUGUCAUUUGAAGGACCUGUUUUAGGUAUGCCAAAUCAGAUUUGAACGAGAAGGACGUCGCUC